rnacentral:rRNA from 1 species
AACUUAAGCAUAUCAAUAAGCGGAGGAAAAGAAACUAACAAGGAUUCCCCUAGUAACUGCGAGUGAAGCGGGAAAAGCUCAAAUUUAAAAUCUGGCGGUCUUUGGCCGUCCGAGUUGUAAUUUAGAGAAGCGUCUUCCGCGCCAGACCGUGCACAAGUCUCCUGGAAUGGAGCGUCAUAGAGGGUGAGAAUCCCGUCUUUGGCAUGGAUCCCCUGGUGCUUCUGUGAUGCGCUCUCAAAGAGUCGAGUUGUUUGGGAAUGCAGCUCAAAAUGGGUGGUGAACUCCAUCUAAAGCUAAAUAUUGGCGAGAGACCGAUAGCGAACAAGUACCGUGAGGGAAAGAUGAAAAGCACUUUGGAAAGAGAGUGAAACAGUACGUGAAAUUGUUGAAAGGGAAACGCUUAAAGUCAGUCGCGUCGACUGAGACUCAGCCUUGCCUUGGCUUGGUGAACUUCUCAGCCGACGGGUCAGCAUCAAUUUUGCYCCUUGGAUAAUGGCAAGGGAAAGGUGGCACCCUUUUGGGUGUGUUAUAGUCCCCUGUCGCAUGCAAGGGUCAGGAUUGAGGAACUCAGCGUGCACCUUUGUUGGUGUCGGGGCUUCGGCUCACGUCACGCGCUUAGGAUGCUGGCGUAAUGGCUUUAAACGACCCGUCUUGAAACACGGACCAAGGAGUCUAACAUGCCCGCGAGUGUUCGGGUGGAAAACCCGUGCGCGUAAUGAAAGUGAAAGUUGGGACCUCUGUCGUGGAGGGCACCGACGCCCGGACCAGACCUUCUGUGACGGAUCUGCGGUUGAGCGUGUAUGUUGGGACCCGAAAGAUGGUGAACUAUGCCUGAAUAGGGUGAAGCCAGAGGAAACUCUGGUGGAGGCUCGUAGCGAUUCUGACGUGCAAAUCGAUCGUCAAAUUUGGGUAUAGGGGCGAAAGACUAAUCGAACCAU